rnacentral:rRNA from 1 species
AUUGAACGCUGGCGGCAGGCUUAACACAUGCAAGUCGAGCGGGGGAAGGUAGCUUGCUACCGGACCUAGCGGCGGACGGGUGAGUAAUGCUUAGGAAUCUGCCUAUUAGUGGGGGACAACAUCUCGAAAGGGAUGCUAAUACCGCAUACGUCCUACGGGAGAAAGCAGGGGAUCUUCGGACCUUGCGCUAAUAGAUGAGCCUAGGUCGGAUUAGCUAGUUGGUGGGGUAAGGGCCUACCAAGGCGACGAUCUGUAGCGGGUCUGAGAGGAUGAUCCGCCACACUGGGACUGAGACACGGCCCAGACUACUACGGGAGGCAGCAGUGGGGAAUAUGGGACAAUGGGGGGAACCCUGAUCCAGCCAUGCCGCGUGUGUGAAGAAGGCCUUAUGGUUGUAAAGCACUUUAAGCGAGGAGGAGGCUACUCUAGUUAAUACCUAGGGAUAGUGGACGUUACUCGCAGAAUAAGCACCGGCUAACUCUGUGCCAGCCGCCGCCGUAA